rnacentral:rRNA from 1 species
UACAGAGGGGGCAAGCGUUGUUCGGAAUUACUGGGCGUAAAGGGCGCGUAGGCGGCCGCCUAAGUCAGACGUGAAAUCCCUCGGCUCAACCGGGGAACUGCGUCUGAUACUGGGUGGCUUGAAUUCGGGAGAGGGAUGCGGAAUUCCAGGUGUAGCGGUGAAAUGCGUAGAUAUCUGGAGGAACACCGGUGGCGAAGGCGGCAUCCUGGACCAAUACUGACGCUCAUGUGCGAAAGCGUGGGGAGCAAACAGG